UCGAAGGGGGCUAGCGUUGCUCGGAAUCACUGGGCGUAAGCGCACGUAGGCGGAUCUUUAAGUCAGGGGUGAAAUCCCGGAGCUCAACUCCGGAACUGCCUUUGAUACUGGGGAUCUUGGAGUCCGGGAGAGGUGAGUGGAACUGCGAGUGUAGAGGGUGAAAUUCGUAGAUAUCGCAAGAACACCAGUGGCGAAGGCGGCUCACUGGCCCGGUACUGACGCUGAGGUGCGGAAAGCGUGGGGAGCAACAGG
rnacentral:rRNA from 1 species